rnacentral:rRNA from 2 species
GAACUUAAGCAUAUCAAUAAGCGGAGGAAAAGAAACCAACCGGGAUUGCCUCAGUAACGGCGAGUGAAGCGGCAAGAGCUCAAAUUUGAAAGCUGGCUCCUUCGGAGUCCGCAUUGUAAUUUGCAGAGGAUGCUUUGGGUGCGGCCCCCGUCUAAGUGCCCUGGAACGGGCCGUCAGAGAGGGUGAGAAUCCCGUCUUGGGCGGGGUGUCCGUGCCCGUGUAAAGCUCCUUCGACGAGUCGAGUUGUUUGGGAAUGCAGCUCUAAAUGGGUGGUAAAUUUCAUCUAAAGCUAAAUACUGGCCGGAGACCGAUAGCGCACAAGUAGAGUGAUCGAAAGAUGAAAAGCACUUUGAAAAGAGAGUUAAACAGCACGUGAAAUUGUUGAAAGGGAAGCGCUUGCGACCAGACUCGCCCGCGGGGUUCAGCCGGCAUUCGUGCCGGUGUACUUCCCCGUGGGCGGGCCAGCGUCGGUUUGGGCGGCCGGUCAAAGGCCCCUGGAAUGUAGUGCCCUCCGGGGCACCUUAUAGCCAGGGGUGCAAUGCGGCCAGCCUGGACCGAGGAACGCGCUUCGGCACGGACGCUGGCAUAAUGGUCGUAAACGACC